rnacentral:rRNA from 1 species
GACGGAGGAUGCAAGCGUUACCCGGAAUGAUUGGGCGUAAAGCGUCCGCAGGUGGCAGUUCAAGUCUGCUGUCAAAGACCGGGGCUUAACUUCGGAAAGGCAGUGGAAACUGAACAGCUAGAGUAUGGUAGGGGCAGAGGGAAUUCCUGGUGUAGCGGUGAAAUGCGUAGAUAUCAGGAAGAACAUCGGUGGCGAAGGCGCUCUGCUGGACCAUAACUGACACUCAGGGACGAAAGCUAGGGGAGCGAAUGGG